rnacentral:rRNA from 1 species
UGCCGGAAUGAGUAGCGAGAAUUGCGUGAGAAUCGUAAUGGCCGAAAAUCUAAGGAUUCCGGGGGAAGGUUCGUCCGCCCCGGGUAAGCCGGGAGCUAAGGCGAGGCCGAAAGGCGUAGUCGAUGCACAUACGGUAGAGAUUCCGUAGCCGCCAAAGAUUUAAGCACACUGACACCAGAUGAAAUCAUGACCCGGGCGUUGGUAGCCCCGGGCGAAAGGGACUGAAGUUUAGUAGGGAAGCAUGAGGACAUAGGGGCGAGAAAAGGUGUGAGGGAUAUCGAAGGCGCCCGUACCGCAAACCGACACAGGUAGAUGAGGAGAGAAUCCUAAGGCCAACGGGAGAAGGGUUGUUAAGGAACUCGGCAUAUUGACCCCGUAACUUCGGAAGAAGGGGUGCCUCUGAAAAGAGGCCACAGUGAAAAGGCCCAGGCGACUGUUUAGCAAAAACACAGGUCUCUGCAAAACCGAAAGGUGAAGUAUAGGGGCUGACGCCUGCCCGGUGCUGGAAGGUCAAGGGGAACGCUUAGCCGCAAGGCGAAGGCGUGAACUUAAGCCCCAGUAAACGGCGGCCGUAACUAUAACGGUCCUAAGGUAGCGAAAUUCCUUGUCAGGUAAGUUCUGACCCGCACGAAUGGCGUAACGAUCUGGGCACUGUCUCGACAGCCCGCCCGGCGAAAUUGUAGUACCGGUGAAGAUGCCGGUUACCCGCGACUAGACGGAAAGACCCCAUGGAGCUUUACUGUAGUUUGAUAUUGAAUUCCGGCACAUUAUGUACAGGAUAGGUGGGAGACAGAGAAGCAGCGGCGUCAGCUGCUGUGGAGUCGACGUUGGGAUACCACUCUUGAUGUAUCGGGGUUCUAACCUGCAGCCGUGAAUCCGGCUGGGGGACAAUGUCAGAUGGGCAGUUUGACUGGGGCGGUCGCCUCCUAAAGAGUAACGGAGGCGCUCAAAGGUUAGCUCAGCGCGGAUGGAAAUCGCGCAGUGAGUGUAAACGCAGAAGCUAGCCUAACUGCGAGACCUACAAGUCGAGCAGUAACGAAAGUUGGAGUUAGUGAUCAGAUGGUAGUGAGUGGAAAUGCCAUCGCUUAACGGAUAAAAGCUACCCUGGGGAUAACAGGCUGAUCUCCCCCAAGAGUUCACAUCGACGGGGAGGUUUGGCACCUCGAUGUCGGCUCAUCACAUCCUGGGGCUG